rnacentral:rRNA from 1 species
UACGGGGGGAGCAAGCGUUGUUCGGAGUUACUGGGCGUAAAGGGUGUGUAGGCGGUUGUUUAAGUUUGGUGUGAAAUCUCCCGGCUCAACUGGGAGGGUGCGCCGAAUACUGAAUGACUUGGAGUGCGGGAGAGGAAAGUGGAAUUCCUGGUGUAGCGGUGAAAUGCGUAGAUAUCAGGAGGAACACCGGUGGUGUAGACGGCUUUCUGGACCGUAACUGACGCUGAGACACGAAAGCGUGGGUAGCAAACAGG